GCUACACGCAAAGAAAUUCCGGUGAACGUUGAAUGCUCAUCCGGCCUAACCCAUCUGAUGUUCAUAUUAUUGAGCAUCGGACGUUCAAAGCAUUUCUAAAAUCACGCACACUACAGCAGUACGGCCUAGUAUGUGUGAUAUUUGCGGGCAACGUGCCGUCUAGCGGAGAAUUUCUUCUUCAUCCUUUUUAAAAUAGCCCACUCUUCUUCAUGAGCAAUUUGACGUUUCGUUUUUUCUCGCAGUAGCCUUGUCAGAUUUUUUGCAGUCAGACUGCAAAAUUUUCAGCCGGUGAUUCCGUGAUCGCCGCACGCGUGCCUGAAAGUGGUUCCCGGAGGUGGACAAAAGUGUUUUCCGAUUCUAUAAGAACUGCUCUCUUUUUCCACGGAUCCACUUCCGGUGCCGGACCCAGCAAGCUGGCUGCAGUUUGGCGUCCACAUGACCUCCGAAACCCGCGAUGAGCAGCUGGUGCGAAAAGUUUUCCGUUGCGCAGCUCGUUGGACUCAGACGGCGGGGAAUCGGAGCAACUUCGUCGAGUUUAAGGCCGGGCAAUUUAUGAACCUUGCCGCGAUCAAGUUUUCAGGUGGGAGUUGUGCAAGUUGGUUGAGGAGGAUUGUUGGGAGGAGGAGUAAAUUUACUUUCGGUCAACUUCAACAAAAAACUGGCCAGCCUCCAGGUCGACCACGAGUUUGUCCAAGACAAGCAGUAAGACUUCUGGGAGUUGGACCACAAAUCGACACUUGCUCCGUCCGCGGACGCCAAGACUAAGCCGGCCCCGCGUACGCUGCUCAAUUCGUGAACGCCAAAACGAAAAAAUCCGUUUGUCCGGAAACAUCCCAAACGGCAGUCGUCCCCUGCGGCAGACCAUCGCCGCGAACGGUGCUGUACGGAGAAACCGUCGAGGAGAUUCAAGUCAAGGACAACCGGGAAACCCGCGUGUUACGCUUUCUACAUCAUCGAAGCAAUCAUCCUCGGCGGCGUCGACGUCCGCACCUUCCCGCUGGCCAAGUGCAGUGCACUCUGCACCAAGUUCGCAAACACGCUGAACCUACCACUGUACCACCUCAGCCCAACCCGGUCCGCCCGGUUCCGGUUCGCGCCAAGCAGCUGUACGCGCUCGCUGAAAUGAAGCACUUUCUCCCUAACGUGACCGUCUACACGCUCGAGAGCAGCACCAAGGAUACGGACAAGCCGUUGAGCGGUUCAAGUCGCGCAAAACCCAGCGCUUUUACAUUCCGCUUUUGGAGGUGGACAGGAUUUUUGGACCGAAGUGGCACGAUUUGUCUGAGAGGAGGGUUUCAUAACGGAAUGUAUGGAACGGGAAACACCCCGAUGUUGAUGACCACGUUAGUCCGUUGACCACUAUUCGCGACAUCUAGACGUAGUUCGUGUCAACCAAAGCUCGCCUGAAUGACGUCGAAGCCCGUUUGCCGUCGACAGUCUCCGCCGAGUUGGUCCCACCAUGGCGUCACUCAGAAGAUACAGUGCUGGCCGGCAAUGAUCGUCACUGCGCGGCACAGCCGUCGGAUCACUCCUCCCUUCCCGACCGCGGAUCGCGUAGUCGUACCUUCAACGAGAUCGCGAAACUGAACGGACGGAGGCGCUUUUCUAACAGCACGGGUACGACUAUUGGGUCACAAGAACUACGAGCACAAGAAGUUGAGUGUGCGCGACUUUUUUGGUCCCUCGAAGCAAGCCCCAGCGUCCUCAGGAGGUCCAAGCCAUCGCCGAUUCGGGGGACUGAUCGACAACACCGAAGCUAAGGCUCUAGGGUUAAUCACCGGCUCGAAUCUGCAAACUUUGCAGUUAAACUUCAAGGACCUUUCCGACACACAAAUCGCCGGAAAUUUGGUGGACUGCAAGCGCAAACUGAUUCUGCGUUUAAUUAUUGGCAUAGAGAUGACCAAACAACUUAGUUACAUUUAAAAGCUUGUGUAACUUUGUAUUAAACUAUAAGAAAAUUGAUUUAUUAUGUUAUAACAAAUAAAAAGAGGUGCUGUAUGGUUUUUGAUAAGUUAUUUUCUCCCUUGGGAGGAAUAUUUAUCGAAACAGCCAAUUUGUCCUGUUAAACCAAAAAUCAAACUUAAUCGGUCGUUAUUUCUUCUUAAUUUCGAUUGAUUUAGUUUGAAUUUGUGUUUAACAGGACAAAUUGACUGUUUCGAUGAAUAAUCUCUGAUGAUUUUUGGUUUGCGUCCUGGGAUAUCGAAUAAAUCCAUCUGGUGGCGAAAAGUGGAACUAACCCAGAUACCGCAACGUAUAGUGGCGCCACCGGUGGUGAGUAGAGGAAACUUCGAUUUUUUGUUCACGACGACACGCAUACACUGAAACGAGCUGUCAAAUUGGCAAAAAUCCUUUUGAACAUCGGAUGGUCAGUUCGCUUUGAACAUCGAAUGCGCAUGAUCGUUUUUGAACAUCAAACGUUCAAAAAAGUUAUACCAACGUUCAGAAAAUUCUCAUUGGCGGUUUUGCGUGUAGUAA